UAACAGAGCAAAGAUGGCGUAGAGCGGAGGGUGAGCAGAGACGGGGGACGAGGGGACCUUCUCCUCUCCUGGGGGAGGAAAGGAGAUCCAUCCUUCCUGGAGGUUUAUGGUUUAAUCUUCCGAAGGUAAAUCCUCACUCAGAGAGACCGGUCUCCCUGCACAUGAACCCCGGUGUAGACCUGGUCCUGGAGGUCUGGAUGAGUCCCCGGAGAAGAAGAACCCUCCUGGCUUUGUUUACCAUGAUGAUCAGCUGCAGCUCCAAGCACCCUGAGAAUACCUCUGCAUCACUCCAGACCAUCACUCACACCAAGGAUGUGUUUACCAGUUGUGAUCCAGUCUGACACUGAGGAUGGAGGAACACCUCUGCUCCAAUCAGCCCUCGCUGGACCGCUCCGAUGUCUCCUGAGAUCUGUGGAGGUAAAGGACGAAGAGUCUUUGUGAAGAUGACCUCUGUUGGGCUUUUGGUGCACGGGUGUCCUCCUUCCUCCUUCCUGCUCCUGCAGGUGGAGCAGUGGCCUCUCUCCUCCACAGCACCUCCCCUCCCUCUGUCCUGACCUGUUUCUGCAGCACGAUCACGAGUCAGGACAUCUGCCUGGAUCUGACUCUGACUACUCCGACAUGAAGCCUCGUGUGGCGUACUUGUCGUUGGGUCGGCUUUGAAGGCCUGAAAGUUUCCAUCAUUCGGGCGUCUGCAGUUAGAUCUGGGUUCAAUGUCUUAUCAGGUUUCAUGCAAACAUUAGCAGCUAAAUCUAAAAACAGCCCCACACACUUAGUAAUCAGAUCACAGCAGUUUGGAACAAAGUGCUCCACAUUAUCUGGGACACACAAAAAGCAAAGACACACGAUACUGUAGCAAAGAUCAAGGCCUGUGAUGAACUCAAAGGGUGUUUAAGUUUUGAUUUCUGCACUACCUCAUCACCAUGACAAGUCAAACAGGAGUGAAGGGAGCGCCAGCAGAACAAGUUACCUGGUUGUGAAGCGCCACAGCAGUUCUUAAGUUGACGAUUCAGCUUCAGUUGAUCCAUCAUGAGGAAAACUCUUAACUGUGGUCCCCUUUGCAUCUUCUCUCUUCUUUCAUUAUGGGCUCUCUAUGAGCCAGAAUCCCCAAAUUCCCUCCCUGAGAUCCCUCAAAUUUCGCAACUAACAGUAGUUUUAGUGGGUCUUUUAUUUUGAAAGUCUCAGCCAACUUUCUCCUCUUUUAAACAACUUUCAGUCCCCAAACUCUCCCUCAUAUCUUUCUACUUCCUCCUUUUUAAGCUCUUACUGAUGCUCUAAUGAGAAGUGGAUGCAGCCAUCAUGACGUUCACAUUUGCCGCAUUUUUUUUCGUUGCUUUGGGUCGUUGCUAUCUUUUUUGUUUUGCACCAGAAGUGACCGUACUUGCAGCUGAGGGUCGAGGUCGGGAGGACUUAAGGCGUGAGCUUUAACCGCUCAGCAAAACAGGCGCCCCAAAGGAUCGCAGGCUUUCCUUUUAAAACCACAGCUCUACAUCCUCUCCUGAUUUACACUUUCUAGAUUUAUUCUGCAUCCUUUAACUUGAGCUUAUCGUCUUUCGUCACCACAAAUAUCCUCUUAAUAGGACGUCCUUUACCCGCUGUAGGUAGAGACAGAAUCCCCCAAAAUCCCUCCCUGAGAUCCCUUAAAUUUCGCAACUAACAGUAUUUACAGUUUUUUUUUUAUUUUGAAAGUCUCAGCAGACUUUCUCCUCUUUGUGCUUCCUUAAUUCCUACCUUUUGACGCUUUCAGUCCCCAAACUCUCCCUCAUAUCUUUCUAGUUCCUCCUUUUUAAGCUCUAACGGUUGUUUUAAUGAGAAGUGGGUGCAGCCAUCAUGAAGUUCACAUUUGCCUCAUGUCUUCAUAAUUUUUUUUGCACCAGAAGUGACCGUACGUUGGAGCAGGAGAGAGCGAGGGCUGAGCUGAGGUAUCACCAGGAAGAUGCAUGAGUAGUUUGAUAGAAGCUAUGCUAGUUUGAUGCUAAUUGAAGCUCCUAAGAAUGUCUUGAAGCGCCCUCUGCUGGUUGUUAGAAGGGAUGCAUUUUUUAACAGAUAUUCUUUUGGGGUAUUUUUUUGCUAUUAUUGGAUUGGACGUCUGAAGAGAGAGAGAGGACGUGGGGAGUAGAGAGUUGAGGUAGGAAGUGCAGUUGAGGGUCAAGAUUGGGAGGACUUGUAGCGUGAGCUUUAAGGCUGAUUUAUUCUUCUGCGUCGCCCCUACGCAGCGGACAUGAGCCCCACAUACUUGUGCGUAGAUGUGUCCGUGUCGCGCAGCAAUUCUCCUCCGAAACACUAGAGGGCAGUGUGGUCUCUCUGAUAGUCGGUCCCGCUACGAUCUCUGUUUCCUUUUCCACAGAGAUUCAGAGCGUGUUCUGUUAAUCUACAGCUGAUACAUGUUGCUGUUUAUCAUACAGACAUGAUUACAUGAAGAAGAGAGAGGAGGAGAGGAAAUACACGGCCGAUGAGCGGGGAUCCAGGAAGUGCUGUAAAUGCAGGAAAUACAAUGCAGCUGAGCCGACCAAUCACAGGGCUUACAGUCUGCGUCCAUUCUUGGGGUAGUUACAUUUUGGAGGAGGUGCACGUCAGCUACACGGACCUCUGGCAUAGGCUACGCUGUCAAUUCGACGCAGAAGUAUAAAUCAGCCUUUAGGAGGAGCCUCAUAGGAAAGCAUUUUUAAGACCGUCUUUCCUUUAAACAUCCGCUCCUGAUUUACAGAUCCUAGAUUUAUUCUGCAUCCUUUAACUUCAGCUUCUCGUCUUUUGCGACCACACAGACCCUCUUAACAGGAGGUCCUUUACCCGCUGCAGGUAGAGACAGAGUUCAGCAUCUUCUGCUUGAACCACAAACCGCAGCUUUAAUCUUUUGAAGGAACCCCUGGUCUCAUUACGUCGACUUUCCUUUUGAAACCUUUUAUGAAAGAAUCAAAUUGUUCCGGGAUUUGUGCAAUAUUUGAUCUUAACUGUCAUGUUGUUGACCAAACUGUAUAUUGUAUAAACAAGUGACAAGUUGUUUGAAAGCAACAAAAUCACCAAUGUCUUCCAUUAAGAUAUGUAUAGACUCAUGUGCAUUAGCUUAUUUAGCGGGCCUGUGGUGCCAACAUACUCGUAGCCAUGCAUGACCAGUAGUGACGCUUGCUUCAUGAGGAGUAGUGAAACCCAGUCUCUGGACUGAGCUGGGGUUAGUUUGAAGUGCUGCACCUCUGAGCACAGAACACCGUAGACGCAGCUUCGCCCUCAGAUCUUAGGUUUGUGCAGCUUCUCCUUCUUUUACUGCAUCAUGCAAACACAAUAAGGUGCGACAGGAUCAGGUUGUUUUUAUAUAUGCAUGUUAAAAAAACGUCAGCGCGGCUGUACGUUCUUAAAAAAAAAGCUGAAGAGGUGUCCUGAUUUGCACUCUCAAGCAUGAAAGGUGUUGUAGAUGUUUUUCAAAGCUCCAAAAAAACGAGUCUCAGAUUCGACAGAGACGUAUCUUAGCACAGGUAGUGAGAUCAUGAACUGCUGCAGAUCCAAGGUAGUGUUUAUACUCUCCACAUCUUCUUGUACAUAAUACCUCAUAGCUUUUUGGAUUCAGAGUGAUAUAUUUUAAUCCAUAAAUUGUAUUUGAUUAGAGUUUUAGAAGCAAUAACCUUCAAUAAUGCAUGAGUUUAGUGCCAGGGUGUGAUAGUUGGAGGACUCUACAGUAGCUCUCUGUCCGUCACUUUAUUCAGAGGACAGAGUCGUCCCAGAUUCUUCCUGCAGAGCGCGUUAGGACGUCUGUAGCAUCACAGCGUCCGUCACAUGCCAAAAUCAACCCCUGCCUUUUAUUCUCCAACACCAAACGGGAAUCAGACGUUGGAUCAGUACGCGAGAGAAGCUUUACGUUUAAAUCCUUGUAGCACCCCGUCCACCUCUUCCUUUAGAAACUCUGUGGCUGCAAAGACUCUGAACGGACUUGUUUGAAAAGCACUUUCUCUCUACGUACUGACUUGCACCAUCAUCAUCAUCCUCAUCCUCAUCAUCCUGUCUUGAGUACUGUGUUCUUAAAAACCCUGUAAUGCUCUCUGUUGGGAUUAUAAUCACAUUUAUAAGCAAGUAGGCGUCUCUAAGCAACAAUGAAUAUAUGGGUUUAAAAAAUAUGCAUGACUUUUAGCAGAAUAACGAAUGAUUUGUAUUGCAUGCAAUAAUCCAACUUUGUAAUGUGAAUGAGUGUAACUAGGCUAAAGAAGUGUUCAUUAUGGGAUGUUCUGUGAAAAGGUGACAACGUAGGGAACGCUUGUUUGACUCGACAGCAGCACGUUGACGUAGCUUCGUUCAUCAGCUGCAGUUUAAAGCACCAAAAAGAAGUCCAACCGGAGGCGGGUCGGACGUGAUCCGGCUCGCACGGCGGUGCAGCUGAGAACCACCAUCAACCUUUAGUUCCCCAUGUAAGAAAAACAACAAACCUUAGGUAGACAAGUAACGAAGACUUUACUCUGUUGAUCCACUUUUCCACUGAGGAGGUGGACUGUGUAGAAACUAUGCACUCCAGAGGGAGGAGAUGGGCAUGCUUAUUAUGUGUGAGCCUCUUGUCUGGUUUUGUAUUAUUAACUUAAAAAAAAAAGAAAUCUGUAUCAGAAAUUCAGCAAUAAAAAGCAGCAUGGUGCCAACUGGA